UAUAUAUUGGAAGUAGUUCUGUUCCUUGGCAGUCCAUCUUCCGGAGACCGAGUCCGAACCAGCCAUGAAAACUCUCGGAAUUCUUGUACUUGUCGUCGGCUUUGCGGCCAUCUGCGUCUCCGGCUUGAGCGAGUGCGAACGGAAGAGAGAAAACAGCCUCAGGAAUCAGCAGCACCCCAAAGCCAAUCAAACCAACAUUGAAAACGUCGGUCUCGUAGUUGAAUGCAACCCAGAUGGAAGCUACAGAGCGCUCCAAUGCUUCCCCCCGGCGACCAAGGGCCGCUUCUGUUUGUGCUACGAUCCUGAAGGUCAGGUGAUCAAAUCUCCCUCCAAGAAGAUCCAGUCGUGCGAUUGUUUCCUGGCGAAAUACAACGCCGAACGAAGCGGGAAACGCGCACGCGCCUGUAAUGCUGACGGAACGUUCGAAUAGACAGGUGACCUCUUCCGUGUUUGAUGAAGCCUGACCCCGACGCCCGAGAAGCAA
rnacentral:lncRNA from 1 species